rnacentral:rRNA from 1 species
UUGUGAGGUUAAGCGACUAAGCGUACACGGUGGAUGCCCUGGCAGUCAGAGGCGAUGAAGGACGUGCUAAUCUGCGAUAAGCGUCGGUGAGGUGAUAUGAACCGUUAUAACCGGCGAUUUCCGAAUGGGGAAACCCAGUGUGUUUCGACACACUAUCAUUAACUGAAUCCAUAGGUUAAUGAGGCGAACCGGGGGAACUGAAACAUCUAAGUACCCCGAGGAAAAGAAAUCAACCGAGAUUCCCCCAGUAGCGGCGAGCGAACGGGGAGGAGCCCAGAGCCUGAAUCAGUGUGUGUGUUAGUGGAAGCGUCUGGAAAGGCGUGCGAUACAGGGUGACAGCCCCGUACACAAAAAUGCACAUACUGUGAGCUCGAUGAGUAGGGCGGGACACGUGGUAUCCUGUCUGAAUAUGGGGGGACCAUCCUCCAAGGCUAAAUACUCCUGACUGACCGAUAGUGAACCAGUACCGUGAGGGAAAGGCGAAAAGAACCCCGGCGAGGGGAGUGAAAAAGAACCUGAAACCGUGUACGUACAAGCAGUGGGAGCCUCUUAAUGGGGUGACUGCGUACCUUUUGUAUAAUGGGUCAGCGACUUAUAUUCUGUAGCAAGGUUAACCGAAUAGGGGAGCCGAAGGGAAACCGAGUCUUAACUGGGCGUUAAGUUGCAGGGUAUAGACCCGAAACCCGGUGAUCUAGCCAUGGGCAGGUUGAAGGUUGGGUAACACUAACUGGAGGACCGAACCGACUAAUGUUGAAAAAUUAGCGGAUGACUUGUGGCUGGGGGUGAAAGGCCAAUCAAACCGGGAGAUAGCUGGUUCUCCCCGAAAGCUAUUUAGGUAGCGCCUCGUGAAUUCAUCUCCGGGGGUAGA